rnacentral:lncRNA from 12 species
GCCAACACUCCCAAGACAAGAGUUCAGUUGCAGUCUUGCAGAUGACAUCUAUGUAGGUCAUUGUGGCUAAUUAUAUAUCUGAGAGCUAUUUUCUUUCCCGAAAAGGUGCGAAUAACUGUGAAUAGCUGGAUACCUCUCUGAGUUGAAAUGGCAUGAGAUAACAAGAUUUAAUUACACUAAAUACAAGUAAUUUUAACCUUGUUAAGAGCCUACCUGAAAGGUUAAUCAUAGCUUUCUGGUCAGACAGAACCUCCAACAGAAACCACCAGCUGUAUUAUUUGAAUAUCUCACCUCAGAAAGCUCAACUUCAUAACAACUGUAUCAAAGAAUUUAGUAGCCUGAAUGAUGCCACAUUUUACAAAACAUGCCCGACAAUGGAAAUACUCUCCAAACAGAGCU